GGAGGAGGAGGAAGAGCGACUCUGGGGACGGGAAGGCGGCGGGGAAAGCGAGCAAGGCGGCCGAUCAGAAGGCAGACGGGACCGAGGGCGGGACACCUGCUGUGAAGAGCAAGAAGGACUCUGCUGGAGGCCUGAAGACGAGUCAGGAGGGCAAGAGAAAAAAUAAGCAGGUGGCUGAGGUGCGCAUCGCAGCAGAGCUCCAAGGGCUGCUCGACGCCAUAGCAACAGAACCCCCCGUUCUGUCUGAGCCCAAACCCAAGAGCAAAAAGAAAAAGGCCAAAGAUAAAGCAGCCAUCAUCGUUUAGGACCUGAAGCGAACGAAGUGCCUCCCACCUCCUACAAAGUUUAAAAGAAAACAAGCCAUGAAGUACAUGAAGACUUUUUUUUAUGGACGGGUCAAGACAUCUGGAAAUCAUGGGCAGCGUGAAAUACUGUAACAAGAAUACAUUGUAUUUUUCUACUCUUUUUAUUACCUUUUUUAUGUUUCUGUUUUUUGUGUUUUUGUACGUAUGAACCUUACAUGUGCCUGGCUAAGUUUUAUAUUAUAUUGUGGAUUGUGAUUAAACCUUCAUUGUAUGUUUUGUAGGUGUGUAUGCGCCACAAGAUGAGUUAUAAACAUGUUGUUGAUGUAAUGCCCCUACAUAGAAACCCUCAUCAAGUGGUCGAGAUGAUCAAUAGUUGGUGAUUGGGUAGAAAAAAAAUCAUAUAUGCCAUGUUAUGUUUCAUCUGUAAAAAGAUAACAUUUAUCAGGGCCAAUGCUGGCCCGACACGCUCUGUGUAC